CCUACGGGAGGCUGCAGUGGGGAAUAUUGCACAAUGGGGGAAACCCUGAUGCAGCGACGCCGCGUGAGUGAAGAAGUAAUUCGUUACGUAAAGCUCUAUCAGCAGGGAAGAAAUACUGACCUUACGGUCAGCAGACGGUACCUGAGUAAGAAGCCCCGGCUAACUACGUGCCAGCAGCCGCGGUAAUACGUAGGGGGCAAGCGUUAUCCGGAUUUACUGGGUGUAAAGGGAGCGUAGACGGUGCGCCAAGACUGAAGUGAAAUGCCGCAGCUUAACUGCGGAACUGCUUUUGAAACUGGCGAACUAGAGAGCGGGAGCGGUAAGCGGAAUGUCUGGUGUAGCGGUGAAAUGCGUAGAUAUUAGGCGGAACACCGGUGGCGAAGGCGGCUUACUAGACCGUAACUGACGUUGAGGCUCGAAAGCGUGGGGAGCAAACAGGAUUAGAUACCCUGGUAGUC
rnacentral:rRNA from 1 species